AGUGAACGCUGGCGGUAGGCCUAACACAUGCAAGUCGAACGGCAGCACAGUAAGAGCUUGCUCUUACGGGUGGCGAGUGGCGGACGGGUGAGGAAUACAUCGGAAUCUACUUUUUCGUGGGGGAUAACGUAGGGAAACUUACGCUAAUACCGCAUACGACCUACGGGUGAAAGCAGGGGAUCUUCGGACCUUGCGCGAUUGAAUGAGCCGAUGUCGGAUUAGCUAGUUGGCGGGGUAAAGGCCCACCAAGGCGACGAUCCGUAGCUGGUCUGAGAGGAUGAUCAGCCACACUGGAACUGAGACACGGUCCAGACUCCUACGGGAGGCAGCAGUGGGGAAUAUUGGACAAUGGGCGCAAGCCUGAUCCAGCCAUACCGCGUGGGUGAAGAAGGCCUUCGGGUUGUAAAGCCCUAUUGUUGGGAAAGAAAAGCAGCAGGCUAAUACCCCGCUGUUCUGACGGUACCCAAAGAAUAAGCACCGGCUAACUUCGUG
rnacentral:rRNA from 1 species